rnacentral:lncRNA from 1 species
UAUCAGGUGUUGUAUCUUCGUUCUCCGGUGGUUUACAAGGUUAUGCCCAUAACAAAAAAUGAAGCUUAGGGUAUAAGCUAUCAUUUGAUAUGCGAAUGGUUUUUAUUGGAUUUACCGGUUAGACUCACCAGAACGGCGGAAUACGUACACCAUACGUUGUAAAUACUACCUGCUAAAUAAUCUUUUUUUUUCAAUAAACUCGGAAAAUAUGGGCACAGAUACCUUCUGUGACUCGUUCUGACAAUUAUUGACAAUAAUAAUACACUUAAACAUCCCUCCCAUACGCACUGAGGUGGUUCAAGUCCAUGGGCUGUCCUAUGCUAUCAGGUGUUAUAUCUUCGUUCUCCGGUGGUUUACAAGGUUGUGCCCAUAACAAAAAAUGAAGCUUAGGGUAUAAGCUAUCAUUUGAUAUGCGAAUGGUUUUCAUUGGAUAUACCGGCCAAUUUUACCCAUCAUCCUUU